rnacentral:lncRNA from 1 species
UUUGAGUCUAUAAUGAUAGUCUUUUUUACUCUGCAUUAGCUUAACCUUGUUUUGAAGUCUUAGAAAGAUUGCUUCUUCAACAUUCUGGAUUUCAUAAUUCUGGAAGUGUCUCUUUCUAUAAGAUGGGUUCAGCAGGAAACUACAUAAGCAAAGAGGCAGGGGUUUCCUGCCAAGUAGCCAAUAAGUGCGUAAUACCCAUAGUCACGGUAGGUGUUGCCUGACUAACAUGCAAAUGGAGGCUACAGUGUGGCAAAAUAAGGUACGUUCUUAACUGUAUAUUCAAACAAUUAUUUGUAAGGCACUUUUGUGUGUAUCUGGCGACUGAAUGCUUUUGCUUAAAGGGAUGACUGAAAAAUGUAUUGUCUGAUUACACCCUGAGUUUACUUGCUUUGAGUAUCAAUUUAAGUUUUUUUACUUUAGCUAUAAAUAGCUCCUAAAUAAGGGAUAGAUCCAAUAAGUUAGAGAAUCUGGCAAGUCACCUUGAAAUCAAUAAUUGAGUGAUUGUGCAUUUGCAGUCAAAGAUUUCUUUCGCCUCCAAAAAAAUACAGUUCAGAAAUUAAAAUGUUUUUGCAAUAUAUAGCUUCUCAGGACGGUUGAUUUAACUAAAACUGGAUAUAUAAAUUAUAUACACAAUAACUAUUUCCAAACCCAAAUGAAUAAAUUCAAAGGACUGAAAUGGAAAUACAAUUUUUUAAAAGCACAAAACACUUUAAAAAAAAUAGUAAACAAAACAAAUAUUGGUUGUUGCAACUUUCAUCUUGGAAUUGUUAGUUGCUAAGAAGAAUUUGAACAACUUUACUGUGUUACCAUUCCGGUAAAACUUUCAUAACAGACCAAAUUAACUCCUUUCAGGAUCCAUUGGAAUAAUUGACGCAGAGAAGAAUGGUACAUGAUUCAUGCGUAUUAUCUGCUUGCUUUUUUUCAUGGGCAUAAUCUUUAAUUCAGAGGAUCCUCUCAUAUCUAUCUUUCAUCAUUUGACUCAGGGCAUUAAGCAAGGAAGAAGUUCCAAUUUUGCUAUCAACACCCCUGAGCAAGAUUGGUGAAGAUCUCCUGUUCUACGGAGGAAUCGUCUGACCUUUUCGUAACACCAUUAAAAGAUAAAAUGUUAAUCUACUGAAGAAAUGAUGCUUGACCUUUGAGGAGUGGGGGAGAGAAACGAAGGAAACACGCCACGUUGCAGUCUGCCAUCAUUAACAGACUUGAUGUUCAAGAGGCAAGCAUUAUAUGUAUCAUAGCAAUAUAAUUGUUUAGAAUAAU